AGGUCAGGCAAGAACACCCGCUGAACUUAAGCAU
rnacentral:rRNA from 3 species